rnacentral:rRNA from 1 species
CCUACGGGCGGCAGCAGUGAGGAAUAUUGGUCAAUGGCCGAGAGGCUGAACCAGCCAAGUCGCGUGAGGGAAGACGGCCCUACGGGUUGUAAACCUCUUUUGUCGGGGAGCAAAGAGAGUCACGUGUGAGUCAUUGAGAGUACCCGAAGAAAAAGCAUCGGCUAACUCCGUGCCAGCAGCCGCGGUAAUACGGAGGAUGCGAGCGUUAUCCGGAUUUAUUGGGUUUAAAGGGUGCGUAGGCGGAUUUUUAAGUGAGCGGUCAAAUCGUGGGGCUCAACCCCAUCCAGCCGUGGAAACUGGGGUGCUAGAGUGUGCGAGAGGUAGGCGGAAUGCGUGGUGUAGCGGUGAAAUGCAUAGAUAUCACGCAGAACCCCGAUUGCGAAGGCAGCAUACCGGUGCACAACUGACGCUGAGGCACGAGAGCGUGGGUAUCGAACAGGAUUAGAUACCCUAGUAGUC